rnacentral:rRNA from 1 species
UACGUAGGGUGCGAGCGUUAAUCGGAAUUACUGGGCGUAAAGCGUGCGCAGGCGGUUUGUUAAGUCCGCUGUGAAAGCCCCGGGCUCAACCUGGGAAUGGCAGUGGAAACUAGCGAGCUAGAGUGUGGCAGAGGGGGGUGGAAUUCCACGUGUAGCAGUGAAAUGCGUAGAGAUGUGGAGGAACACCAAUGGCGAAGGCAGCCCCCUGGGUUGACACUGACGCUCAGGCACGAAAGCGUGGGGAGCAAACAGG